CCAACCACAUGAUAAAAAUAUUUUCACUUGUCCGGGCAUUGCUAUUACAGACAAAUUAACAACAAUUCCACUCCAGAGAUAAACACAAACCACCUCUUGCUGACUGCAAAAGUCCUGCCAAAUUAGCCGGAAAACACACACACACACGUCCAUUUCAU